GGGAUUGUGGCUCAGUGGUAGAGUGCUUGCUUUGAAUGUGUAAGGCACUGGGUUCAAUUCUCAGCACCA
rnacentral:tRNA from 1 species